UCGUCGAUCUGCUGCGGGCAGAUGAAAUGGAUAUGCACGUCGAGGCCGCCGGCAGUGACGAUCUUGCCUUCGCCAGCGAUCGCCUCGGUCGCCGGGCCGAUGACGAUGUCGAUGCCGCGAUUGCCGGCGGACUGCACAUCCGGGUUGCCGGCCUUGCCGAUGGCGACGAUGCGGCCGUCCUUCACGCCGAUGUCGGCCUUUACGAUCCCCCAGUGGUCGAGGAUGAGGGCAUUGGUGAUCACCAGGUCGACAGCGCCCUCGGCGCGCGAGGCCUGGCUCUGGCCCAUGCCGUCGCGA
rnacentral:sRNA from 1 species